rnacentral:rRNA from 1 species
UACGGGGGGAGCAAGCGUUGUUCGGAUUUACUGGGCGUAAAGGGCGGGUAGGCGGCCACCGCAAGUCAGUUGUGAAAUCUCUGGGCUUAACCCAGAAAGGUCAACUGAUACUGCGGGGCUAGAGUGCAGAAGGGGCAACUGGAAUUCUCGGUGUAGCGGUGAAAUGCGUAGAUAUCGAGAGGAACACCUGCGGCGAAGGCGGGUUGCUGGGCUGACACUGACGCUGAACUGCGAAAGCUAGGGGGAGCGAACGGGG